ACCAGAUGAAAUUUUGCUUUUAGCAAGGUGCUCCCUGAGAAGAGACACCAGUUUUGAAGUGAAGAACAAGCAGGUGCCCCACAGCCACGUCUGCAGAUACUUAUCACUGCAGGAAGAAGUAGAUUUACCUCCUCGCACCAGAAGAGUCUUGCUGGAGGACAGAUUUAUUAAAACUACAGGGAGUUUUGUGGGAUUAGCUUUGCCAUAAACAUUUUAAAUUCGAAGCUAUUAAGGAUUACGGAGGAAAGUUGCCUGUCAAAAUCCUUUCAACAAACUGGCUGACAGAUGGAAGGUACACCUGUGGAGACAGCAGAUUCCCCUAGGGAGCUCACAGGGAACUUGUAAAAGCAGGAAGGGAGCCUUGUUAACCAUGUCACUGCUUUCUAGCAGCACCCAGACUCCCAGGGAGGAGCACUGCAGAGACAUGGCCAAGAUGUGACAUGGGUGGGGACAAGGACCAUGGCCCUCAGCACCAGGAAAGGGAAGGGGCUGUAGUCCCACACAUUUCGGUUCGCAGUUGGGCUGAGGGAGGAAGAACAGAAAACCAUCUGGCUCCUGCAUUCCCAGCAGGAAGAAAAUGCAAAAAUGCCCAGGACACAAGCUGGAGCUCUGACUCAGCACCCUGCCCAAAACCUGGCAGGCUCCCGGCAUGCCCGAGGAUCACAUUGCAGCCAGGCAAGCUUCAGCCUCUUGAGAAGCCAGGGAACAAGCAAAACUUUACCUGUCCCUUAUGUCAAGACAGCACUGGCAAGCUGACAGGACCCAGAGAUCCUUCCCUGGGGAAUACCAUCAACAUCUGACAGUUUAACCCAUGGUAUAAACCUCAACACUUGCUCUUCUUAUUGCCUAAAAGAGAAUCCGAGUCCUUCAGGACAUCAGACAGCUACAACAGACUGAAGCUUUCCUGGAGAUACAGAGACAGCCAUGAGAACUUCAAACUGUUCACUGAGAAAAGCUUUUAAAGAUCAUCAGAGCUCCUCUCCCACCAGGAUACACAACAUCCAUCUCCCCUUCAGCACUCGAUGCAACUGUUCUAUCUACAGCUCCUGCACCAUGUAAUUAAAUUUGUUAUCUCUCCACACAAACCCUAGCAAGUGCCUUGUUUUCCUCCAAAUGCAGCUUGUUAGUCUGAGCUCUGGCCUGAAAGUCCCCUUCUCUGUUUCAUUUUUUGAAAAGUAAAUGUGCUUUUGAAACGAUGUUCUGACCAAGUCCAGCUACUGAAAUUCCUUCUUGGUCUGUAGCCACUGGCAAGGGGAGCAACAAGCACACAACCCCGCCAGGCUCAAGGAGCUGAAAAAAGUCACAACACCUGCAGACAUGUCACCUCCCCCCAUCUCCAGCUGCUGUCUCAUGCUGGGACCCCACUACCCAUGUGCAGGGACAAGAGGACACAGCCUCAGGCUGUGCCAGGGCAGGUUCAGGCUGGACAUGAGAAGAAAUUCUUCACAGAAAGGGUUGUCAGGCAUUGGAAGGGGCUGCCCAGGGAGUUGGUAGAGCCCCCAUCCCUGAAGUAUUCAAGAAAUGACUGGAUAUGGCACUAAGUGCUCUGGUCUGGUUGACAUGGUAGUGACAGGUUAAAGGUUGGACUCUGUAACCUUGGAGGUCUUUUCCAGCCUUAAUGAUUCUGUGACAAGACCACCUUCAGCAACCCAAGUGCUGUCAUUCUGGAAGGUCAUGACUGACAGACUGCCUGUUUUUUCCUGUCCCCAGCUCGCCCCAGCUUGAAGAAAUGGCUGCCCUCAAGCACAUGAAAUUGUCACCAUUACCCAGCAGCCUGGUGAGAGUCACGACUCGAUGUCACACAGCCUCACCAAGAGCAGCUUCUCCCCAAGCACCAGAGCAAGCUGUCCCACAACUCCAUCGCAGCACACAGAAGAUGCUUUUCUUAAGCACUGUCCUACUUUGGUGAAGUAGGCGUGUGUUAAACCAGACCUAAAUCUAAAAUGUUACCAGAUUGGUUUGGAUUCUUUUCCCUGUUGCCUUGCCUUCGCCCCCAUGUCACACUUCCAAAGUGGAAGUCACACUGUAACUGCUUCUCUCCUGGCUGACCCCUUCCGCUGUCCUCUGCUCAUGUUUUAACUCAGUGUGGCCAGGGGGGUUUUGGGCUGUAGGUCAAACCCUUCCUCUCAUCCCAGACAAGACCAGAAAACAGCACGUGCAGCAUGCAGGCUGUGGGCAGACACAAGUUCCCCACUGUCUUCUCCUCUGCCUGUUUCACUAUGAAUAAUCCCCUACUAGUUCCCGUUUUCUAAGCUGGCAGGACCAGUUCACAUCACAGGACAGCAGCUGAGGGCACAUGGGAUGGCUCUGCCAUUACAUUUCAAAUGGCUCCCAGUGCCUCAAGGACCAGUGUCUGCAGAGAACUGUUUAUGGCUUGUAGCCCAACUGCAUCUCAGAGGCUACUCGGGCGCUCCAGACACCAAUUAGGAUUUCUGCAUGUUCCUACACUUAACAGCAGCUUUCAUCCCACUCUGCAGCCUUUAUUACUUAAGGCGACUUUGAACCACCCAAGACAAAGACUUCAGACUGGGAGAUGUGGAAACCAAGAGCUCAUUUAUUUUAUUGGCCUUUGUAGCUUAAUAACUACAUGUGAUUGCACUGCGUUCAGGUUUGAUCAGUCCUUGGAGCCUGCAGACCUCCUGCUCCAGUUUCAGUGUGGCCAUCAUGGAUUCCAGUUGGAGAAAAAGCAAAUUUCAGCUACUUGGGUCAUUCUUGCGCAUGAAAGGUUGAAGGGAGCCAAGGUGAGAACACCAGUAAGAGCAGCAGAGCUCUGAGCUGCUCCAUUCAGUGUCUGGCAGCAGCGUUUUGUGUACCAGCCCUUAUCUGCAGCACUGCAGUCCCAGCACUUGGGCUAACGACUCUGGGUUUCUUUCCACUACAGAACACCUGGGUGCCAUUGAUUUGUGUCCCUGACUUCUUCUGCAGCUUGAGAUAAGGCAAACACGAGGGAGCAUCUGCCUGCCGUGGCUAUUGUGGACAGAGAGCAGCCCAGACACAUCCCAGUAACCAACUGGAAGGAAAAACCCCGGCCUUCCAGUUUUGUGUAUGUUCAAGUGUUCUACAAACAAACACUCAAGGAGCUACAAACCAUUUCUGAGUUAGCUUUGCACAGUCCUGUUGCAGGGAGCUGCUCCUCUAGCCAGCAUGUGCUUUUUGAGCCAGGAAGGAAUUAUGCUCAAAUUUUCUUGUUUUCCUUUUUAACACCCUGAUUCCCAUUAGCCCUACUGACAGGUUAUUCAACAAGAUGAAAACUGGCUGUAGGACAACUUGUUUCAGCAUCUUGCUGCCACUACCUGCCUUGUACUUAUUAAAAACUCUCGGGGAAGAUGAUUGACCUCUGUUGGCCUAGUGCCUUCCAGCCACCAGAUGGAGAGAGCAGCAAGUCCAACCACAUCAGUCCCACGUUUCAGGGGACUGUCACUCAGGGCUCAUCACAUCGUCCCUGGCAGAUGGGAUACUAGCACCUUUGCCUGCUAACUACAAAGCAACAGAAGGGAUGCCAAGCUAUUCCUUCCCUGGGAUACAGCAUGCUGGCAGCAUCAUCUGCCCACUGCUGUGCUCUGUGAGUGCCUCAGCAGCAGCACAGGAUCACCACCACCCUUCUCCAUCACCCAACAGCUUGGGGAGCUCUCCUGCCUUGGAUUAUCUGCUCUGUUCCCUGCUGACAGGCCUGUUCUCCAAGCUCUCUGCUAAGCACGUGGAAGACCAGUGCCACAGUGUGCCACUGCUGUGAGAGCUCAGAUGUGCCCCUGGAGCUCACAGCAAGCUUCAGAAGCUCAGAGUUGAUCCAUUGAUCCUUUUGGAAGGAGAAUGACAAUUCAUGGCUGCUACAGGCUCUUCUGGGCUGCAUUAAGCUUUUCCAGGUGAGAGCUGAAGAGCUCUUCAAGAGUAACUGUAGCUCUUUCCUCAGAAGCAUUUCUGUACAAGUUUAAAGACUUGAGGUUUUUAAAUUUCUGUUUAAGCAUUAUUCCUCAGAAGAUUCCAUCUACUCACAGGCUUUUGAGCUGAAGCAGCCAUUCACAGGAUGGCUAUUGGACAUUGGCCAUUAAGACUCAGUCCACACAAAGGAAGAUGGCUUUUUUCUUUUCAGUUCAUGGUAAAGCAAACCCAAGCUAGAGAGAUUUCAGGGACUCUAGAUAAAUACACCAAGUUUCAUGUGGGGAGGGUGUUUAGUGCUGCUGGGAGCAUUAGCUGCUUAAAGAUUUACCUCACAGCUUCCAAGGGUACUAAUCUGGCUCAGAUCUUUGUGCUUUCCUGCUCACCUCCAGCCCCACUGGCAGGCAGUAAGAAUCCUGCCACCAGAUCAUCAAAUCCUCCCCAGAGCAUCAAGUGCCAGGCCUUGUCCUUAAUCAGGGGCUCAAAAACUGCCUGUGCCCAUGACCUCUGCCUAGCUGAGCCAAGUGGAGAGAGAAGACAUGACGUGCCAUGGGCAGGCCACCCCAAGGCUGAGAGCAGGUUGUGGCUGCUGGGAGAGCCUGUUGCCAGGUCUGCUGGAGCAGGAUGAACUGGGCAAUUCCUGUCUGCUGGCAUGGCUUCCUUCGGCACGGCAGAGCCAUUGCUGCCAUGGCAGCUGCAAGCUGCUGCUCCAAAGGGUGACAUGGGAGAAGCUGCAGCCAUGCAAAACUCCCUGCAGUGAGCAUGCACGUUUUUAGCUGCUCCAUGUCACUCCCACAAACACUUUGGAUACACUUGGUUGUCACACGUCAAGGUAAGAUUCUGGAAGCAUUAAAAACAAGCACCUCACAAGAUUUUUGCUCUAGGUCUCUUGGUCUGCAGAUCCAGCAGUUCCUUGGUGUCUCAAACAUGUUUUACCAGAUUAAGCAAGAGACUUCCCAGAACACCCAGGUGGAUUUCUGCAUGCCAGCUCCAUGAUAGGUUUAAUUUCUACAUCAGUGAGUAAGGUGAUUAUCCCUCCAGAUGUACUUUACCCUCCCACUGCUUUGGGGAUUUCAGGCUUGAUCUUACACACCUUCAACAAAGACAAUUUUAUUUAAUUUCUUAAAUGAACUUGCAGAAAAGAAGAAAGUUUUUGCUCUCGCAGCUUUCUGGAGCACUGUAACCAAUUUUAAAUUACAAGAAGAGUCACUUUACUAUCCUAGAUCCAACAGUUUAACUCCUCUCACCUGGCUCCAGCCAUCCCCUCCCAGCCUCUUCUGAAGCCCAAGGGACUCCUACCACAGAUUUGACCUCAGUUCACCACAGGUGACAGAACCCCUCGGGUGCCGAUGCCAUCUUGACACCACCAAACACAAGAAGCCAAGCUCCCAGAUUCUAGGUAAUGAAAUAUUCACCCCGUGUAACAAAGCCCAACAGCAAAAACAGGCAAAGCUCCAACGCCUGCCCCAGCUGGGUGUAAAUCAAAGGCUGUUAAUCUCCCCCAAGUUCUCGUUCACUGCUGCAUUAGCCUUUUACAAGUAGACAUCUCCUACAGCAAUUGUUGAGCGUGUCUGUUAGCACAUGGCACAGCAACAGCUUCUCCACCUACUAUUAAUAAACUUGAUGCUGCUGAGCACCACAACUGUCCAAACAACGUGUCCAUCAGCAGCCUCGUUAGCACUGAGGCUGAGACUUCUCACUGGUGUUUUCCUAGAGCCUUGCUGAAACCAUCUUAGAGAGGAGUCAGAAGCACACUGACACGCCAAGUAGCUUUGCUUGGUACGUAAGCAAAGACACAUCCCAAGCAAGCCAACCCAUCUAGCGAGAUCAGAGGGAAUUUGCAAACAAUUAAGGAAUGGUUUGCACUUGGAAUCCCUACAGACUUGAGCUUGUCCAAGCACAGCUGCCUCAAACACCCAUACACGGACUCAAUUCCAACAUCUCCUUCACAGAAGAAAAACAUUAAGUACUCUCAUCCCUAAUCUGGGGAUCACUUUAAGGGAAUCUCAUGCCAUCAUCAGUGAAAUGUUCUCUAGUUACACUCCCACUGCAAUUAACUAAUACACUGCCCCUGGUCACUAGAUCACUAGCUUGAGGCCAAAAAUCAGGUUUGUUUAAUAUCUAAUUGAGCAUGUACUGGGUCAUGUCCGAGAUGUGACUAAAUCUGGGUUAGCACAGAAAAACCUCAAACUGGGGGAAGUUUGCCCUUAAACAGGCAGACAAAGGCUUUUGUUUCACCAGCUACAUGAAGGCUUUGCUUUUGAGACAGUCUUGCCAGUGUUUCCUGAGCAGCCCAAGAAUUGCUGCCUCAUCAUUUCAGCUCAAUUUUCCAGAAUUUACCAUUUCUGAGCUUUUCCAGACUAUACCAAGAUAACCAGCAGUACAACCAGCAUGAGACUCCAGGGUGAAGAUCAACCCUUAUGAUUUACCAGCCUCAGCAGCUCCCAGGGCUCUAGCUCACAAAAGGGACCAGAAAGAUGCAGCAGCUCAGCCUCAGUGUCAUUGUGCACUCAGAAAAGAUGGACAAAGCCAUCCCACUGCUGAGCUCCUCCCCCAGAGCCAUGGGUGGGAAUCCCACAUCUUGACAUCUGGAUUCUGAAGCAAAGAGUCAGAUCUCUUACUUAAGAAAAUAAAGAAAUGUAAACAGCAGAAUAAAAGUAAUUUUGUCCCAAUUUUACUUCAUUUUAGGUUGGGAGGAAGGACUUUGUGCUCAUUAGAUCAAGCAGCCAGGGGAAAAACAUUCCCUCAAAGCCAUUUCGUUUGCAUGAAGAAAGAAGAGUUCCCCCACCAGACCAAAAACUGCACUGGCAGAAGCACAGGCACAGCCUGGCAGCCAGCAGCCAUGGCAGAAUGUUUUAUCUCAAUGCCACCAGCAUAAAACCAGCCACCACCAUUUCUCUGGACUGCUUCCUCAAGUCAAGCCAAAGGUUUCAGAGCUGAAAGACAAAGCCACCCAAAAUCCAGCACACUGACUGAUCCACUGCUACUUCCCCUUGUUUUAGCUGGUUUCCAGGCUAUUGCUGCCCAGCAGUGGCCAUCACUAGUCAAAUCAAGUCAAUACUUAUGUUUUCACUCAGUUUUUGCAUCCCAGACAAGGUGGUUGCCAUUUUUCAGAAAGGGCAGUUGCCAUUUCUCUGCAGUCACAUGAAUCUAACACUGGGGAACAAGACUUCAGCUAAGGACCAGUUAGGAUAGUUACCUUUCCAGUAAAGAGCAGAAGUUGUUGAAAGCUUUCAGGUUUCCAGAAGGAAAAGACAAAGACUUGACCAGUGAAGGAAAAAAGGUCUAAGCUGGCUCUAAACCAGUCAGCACAAAAAUAUUCCUCUUUUGGAAAAAUCUGUCAUGAACUGCAGAGCACUGAAGUAGAAGAAUGCCUGGAAGCACCGAGGUGCAGCAGCCACCCAGAGACAACCUCAGCCCUGCUCACAGCUUUGCCACAGUGAGGUGGAAGAUGAUGCCUGGAUCCUAUCAAGGCUGUCAAUGGAGAAACGCUUGGGAAGCCAGGCAAAUGCUGUUCCACUGUGCUUUGUACUGCAGUCAUUCUAAUAUGCAUUCAUGUUUUUCUGGUGGCUCAGGAGGCUGCACAGGGCAGAAAAGCACAAGGCACAGUCCUAAAUGCCUCAGGCAUGGACCCAUCUGAGGAAAAGCUCCCUCAGGUAGGCUGGAGGCAUUUUCCAAUGCCUCCUUCCCUGUACCUGCCUCUGAACAGCCUGGUGUGUGGCUGGGACGCCGAGCAGCCAGCUCUGGUCUGAACUAGUCUGACAGUCCUCAUGGCUCUUCCCUGCCAGACUGGAAUUGAGCUCCCAACACACCACUCACCUCUGCCAAGGAAAAAGCAGCACCAACAAGUUCAGCAGUGCUCCACAUCCAAGGACACGUCUGAGCUCAGACAAAGCCUCCUCCCAAAAAGCAGCUGGUUACUCAAGCACUAGCAGUUGGGACACACAAAAGCUUGGAUUCUUUUUUUCCUAAAUAUGUACCCUUGCACACAACUUCUGUGCAUGGUUUAGCUGGCAUGAAGCUGCUGCAAAUAGAAGCUCAAGAGUUCAGUCACAGAGUAGAUGCAUUAGGCCCUGCCAGAUGUGUCACCAUGCAUGGAGUUUUCUCCAGAUGUCAGGUCAUGGCUACCAGUCUCCUCCCCAGCCCCUGCUCCAUCAGCUGCAUCCAGAGCCAUGUUUCUCCUUCUGUCCUCAAGAGCAACAGCUAGCAGAUCCAAUUCUCAGCUACUUUUAAGCCUGCUGAGGUAGUAGAAACAUCAGGCUUUGAAAAAUCCUUGUUCUUAAGAUUGUGACCUUGGGGUCACUCACCAGCCUGGGAACAAAACCCAGGCUUCCCCAUGGGCUAACGGGGUCCAUCAGGUCACUUUUACUCCACCUCCCUGAUCUUAAGCUUAGCAAGGCUGUGGCUGCUUAUUCCUACUUGGAAAGCCAAGCUGAGCAUGCUCCUGAGCAGCACUAAUGCUACUGGCCAGGCACAAGAAACAUGGUUCAGUAAUACUCAUGAAGAAGGAGAAAAAGUAUGGUGGGGAUCCUCGAAUUAAGGAAAUUCUUAACUCUACCAGCUGUAGAAGGUGAGGUAGAACCAUGUUUUUCAUCUCCCUGAUCAGAAACCAAACCUCAGCUGCAGGAGGCAGAGGGAUACACCAGUUAUGUGGAUAACCCUGUUAAAAGCACCAUCCAGAACAUCCAUGAGAAUCACUAAGAGGAUGCCAAAGACAUCAUCCUGUUGCCAAGAACAGUGUAUAUGUCCCUAGGUGCUGCAGUUUUCAACCCAGUAAAUAUUUCUGGAGCUGAAGUUCUGUGGUUGUCCCUAAAUUGCUGUUCCUGGGUAUUCCAGCAAGCCCAAGCACACAUCAUCAGUGUCCAAGGAGUUUAUUCCACAGAGCAACUUUGGGAUCAGCUGGUGAACACAGCUGGAGCAGAAAGGGUUUAUCCACUGACAUUAUGGAACUUAUUUGGUGUACUGAAAUAAUUGAAUCUCCUGUGAACCAGCUAUCUUUUUACACAAGAAGCAGCAAAUAAAGGUGGUUGAAAGAAAAUUUAAUAAAUCAAGACAACUCAACCAAUCUUUUUGCACUUUCAUGGUUAGACAUCAUCAACAGAUCUACUGGAUAAGCCCAAAUAAUCCAGGGGUUCAUGGAGAGCCCUUGCCCAAGUUUUACUAUUUCUAUGCCCCCAGGUAUAAUUCAUCUGCUAUAUUCUCCCUCAUAGUCUCAAUAUCACUUUUGUUUAGUUCAAGAAGAGCUAUUCCAAGUCCAAUCCACCCUGGCUGCUAACUAAGAAACCCAGCAUGGUCUUGUAAGUCAGUGACUCUUCCUUAAUGGACUAAAUAAGAACCCACAGGAGCUCAAAGAGGAAUUUUUAAGAGCUUGAUCUGCUGAAGACUGGCCAGUUACUGAGCAGUGUCCACUGCAGUCACACACAGGGCACACUGCUACCUAUCUGUGGCUUAGGAGCAGAUGUGACUCAGGCUACUGCUACAAGGUCCCAAGGCUGAGUCACACGGAGACAACCCCACGCUGUGAACCUCUACAAGGUCAGAAGGACAGGAGCUCCUGACAGCCACCAUCCUGUCCUGACCCCGUGGGCCUCCAGGAAGGAAGCCCUGCUCGUGAGCCAGGCUGUGUCCCAUCCCCAGCACCACUGCAGUCCACCAGUGGUCUGCAGGCACCAUGAGGCUGGGCAGCAUUCACUCUGCCUGCACAAGAGCAUCAAUGCUGCCAUGAGAUGCCAACAGCUAAUGACUGCACCAUCCACCUCGCACUGGGAACGCUUUCUCCAAAGCCUUCCCCAGCCCCCUGGGAAGUGCUACUACAGCAGCUCGCAGUCCUUGGUCCCCUCCCACCAUCACAGAUGGCCUGCCCAGCACUCCUCCUGGAGAAGCCUUUCCACCUUCACCACCCUUUUGUCUGUGUACACUGCGAGCAGAAAGCAGCUAAUCAUCCCUGCUCUGCUUCCUGGGGACUCUCCAGAUAGGCUGGAUUUGUGUUACUACCCCUUUUUCCAAGGGUGAGCCUGCGGUCUGUGUGAAGCCUUGCUGUCACUGAUGUGGAGGAUGGUAACCUGCCCAGCUGGUGACCAUCACAAGAGAAGCCCACAUACCCCGUGCCAGGGAAGGCCUGCAAUUCCCCAUCCUCAUGCUCCUCCUCCACCCACAAUGGCCAUUUACUGCACCAAGCUGUGCUGUCUAAAGCUCGGAGCAGCCAUCUGCUUUCCAGCAUCUCCAACAGUCCCCCCUUCACAGCCACACUUGGUGGUCCUUGCAUACAGCACAGCCAGGGCCCUGCUGCAGAGGUUGGGCCCCCCAGAAUUGAGCAGUCAGGUGAUCCCCUCACAGGGGACAGCCCCACGCCUACACCAUCCAUAGGUGCAGUACAAUAAUUCUCCCCACACACUUUUAAAAGAUGACUUAUUUCCUGGUUAAGUAAUUGCAAUCAUCUUGUUCAUUCACCUGCACAUCCCCCCAACACGAAGGUCUGUGGGGAGGCACGUGCUCUGCCCCUGGGCAGUGCUGGCCAGGGGCCUGGCAGGGCUCCCACCUCCGGAAAGCCUCCAGCAGCACUGCUCUCCCCAGCUAAUGGAUAUUGAUCCCCAGCCCUGGCGUGGGCUCGGACAGCAAAGCUCUUCCUGAAGCUGAACCAGACAAAAAUACAUCUUGCUCCAACCACCAGCACUGUGGGAAGUGAAACUCCAGCAAGCAAGCCCAAGGCCAAUGUCUGACCACACUGGGGACCAGCAGAGAGCUUUCCUGUCCCCCAGCACCUGAUAGGGCUGAUGGCACCCCCAGACAGCACUGAGGUGACAAGGGACAUGAACAAGGUCAUGUAGACAUACCCUGGAUCGAUGGGCCCAGCCCUGCACCCUUCCUGGGUGUGGCAUCACCUUCUACUCCCUUCUGUUGUUUUCAGAGACCCCCAGUAAACCUGCCCUUUUUGGGGGCUGAAGGAGCAAUCCUGCUCCUGCAGCAGCAACAAAACAACAGGCAGCAAUCAGGGGCACUGGCAGCUAGCACUUGCAAGAAGGAAGGCGCUGGAAGUUAUUAUAUAUAAAUAUUAUUUUUGAGAAACUAUUGCAAUCCCAGACAUCACUAGAUGAAUCAGCAGACAGCAAGAACCCCAGCACACCAUUUCCAUUUUAAACCAUUAACACAGCCAUUCAGCACUGGCUCCCAAGCACACGGGGCUGAGGCCGAACCCAGCUGCCCCAUGUGAGGCAGCUGCCAAAAUGCACCGGUGAGAUGAAGCUGCUGCAAAACGAGCCUCUUUAAUGCCCAUCAUUGCCACGACAGGUUGGAAAGGAGAACCAUCCAGCAUUUCUCAGCAGGGUGCUAGGCAGGGCUAGGUUUGGAGGGCAGGAUGGCUCUGCAUCACCUUCGCUAGGCGCAGCCCGCAUGCUCUCUGCUACCGCCUGGGUGCAUUGCAGCUUGGACCAUGGCAUAUGACAUCACUAGGCGUUGCUACGGAAAUGAGUGCGAGGUCAUCAGCCUCCCGCACAACCGGGGCUGGGGGCUGGGCAGCGCACGGGGACGGGGAUAACCGGCUGUGACACGGCUGUGCCGUGGCCGCCGGACCGGCCGUGCCGGAGCUGGGGCAGCGCGGUGCAGAAAGGAAGAACAAAGCUCUGCCUUUUGUUUGCUGGUGAAGGGAGGCGGCAGCGCUCCCGCCGGGGAUCGUUUCCUUACGGCCAAACUACCCGGCAGCUGAUAAGAGGCGUUAGCCCGGGUUACUGUUUCACCAGGGCCCGUAAGGAAAAAUCACACAUAGGAGCUCUUAACAACACCUGGGCUCGAGCACCCGGCCCGGGGAGGCAGGCUAAGAGAAAUUCACAGUGCAACACGGCUGUGAGUCCCAGGCACAUCCCUGCUGGCUUUGUCACGGCGGCUGUAUUAUCCGUAGGAAAUGAGCUGUAGGAUCUGCUCACACAGCAGGCUUUGCUUUAAAAUGAAUAGAUGCUGCUAUCAGAAAAUGGUAUAAAAGCCACAGUGCAGCAGAGGGACAGCCCGGCUGGUUUAAUGUGAUAAUAUCUCGUUCCGAUUAUCCGUAUUUCAUUCCUUGAUAAGACAUCUCCUCCCUCCCCGGGCUCAGGCUGUGACAGUUUUGUCUGUUUGAUAAAUGCAAGGUUAUUGACAAAAUGGUGCAAUAUGGGCAAACAGAGCUGCACCCACGGCAGACUGCGACAUUCCUAGAUCGGCAUUCACUUUUCAUCAGCCAGGGAGGACACCCCAGCUCCCAGCAAAGGUUCAGACCUGACUAAGAAGACAAACAUAAAGAACAGUUUUCCCCUUUAAAGCACCCCCUCCCUCCCUCCACCCAGUCUAGCCUCUCUGCAAUAUGACAAAUGCAGAAUCUUCUGGAAUGACUUGAUCCUGCCUCCCACGAUUGCUUUGUUUGCAAGAUCAGAUCAGCGAUAUGUUUUUUUUUCCCUUCUUAUAUUGUCAAAAUGUCAGUAUUGAAGGGGAGCGUUCAGUGUCACAAAUCAGAUCAGCCUGCUAUAUGCAGAGUCUUUAUUUUAAGAGCGUGAAAUGAAUACAACAUGACUCAAUUCAUAAAUCUCCAACCAAGAGCAGUAAAAAUAAGAGCUUUGACAGUGAAA